UUAUGGGGUAAUAAUGGAAAGGGAAGGUCUCUGGCAUUCUUCUUUACGGGAAACCUGGGAACCUGAUAAUUGGUUAGAGGGGCAACAGGAAAACCAGGAUAGACAUCUGGGCCAAGUGCACAUUACCCAUAAGGAAACCCUCACUGAGCGAAGGACAUGUGGAGGUAAUGAACUUGAAAGAUGUUCCAGUCAGGGUUCAAUCAUUGAUAUACAACAAACUAUUCCUGUGGGGAAAAGUCCUCACAAUUGGAAUUCACAUGGAAAAGACAGUAAACAAAAUGCUGAAUUAAUUAAAACUCAAAGAAUGUUUGCAGGAGAGAAAGUCUAUGAAUGUAAUGAGUGUGGGAAAACCUUCAGCCAGAGUUCAUCUCUUCUUAAGCACCAGAGAAUUCAUACGGGGGAGAAACCCUAUAAGUGUAAUGUAUGUGAGAAACACUUCAUUGAACGUUCCUCACUUACUGUACAUCAAAGAAUUCACACUGGAGAGAAACCCUACAAAUGUAAUGAAUGUGGGAAAACCUUCAGUCAGAGCAUGAACCUUACUGUUCAUCAAAGAACUCAUACUGGAGAGAAACCAUAUCAAUGUAAACAGUGUGGAAAAGCUUUCCGCAAGAAUUCAUCCCUUAUUCAACAUGAAAGGAUUCAUACUGGAGAGAAACCCUACAAAUGUAAUGAAUGUGGUAAAGCUUUUACCCAAAGUAUGAAUCUCACAGUGCAUCAAAGAACUCAUACAGGAGAAAAACCCUAUGAAUGUAAUGAAUGUGGAAAAGCCUUCAGUCAAAGUAUGCAUCUUACUGUACAUCAGAGAAGUCAUACUGGAGAAAAACCCUAUGAGUGUAGUGAAUGUGGAAAAGCCUUUAGUAAGAGCUCAGCUCUUACCCUGCAUCAGCGAAAUCAUACUGGAGAAAAACCCUACAAAUGUAACAAAUGUGGGAAAUCAUUUAGCCAAAGUACAUACCUUAUAGAGCAUCAGAGACUUCAUUCUGGAGUAAAACCUUUUGAAUGUAAUCAGUGUGGGAAAGCUUUCAGUAAGAAUUCAUCUCUUACUCAACAUCGGAGAAUUCAUACUGGAGAGAAACCUUAUGAGUGUAUGGUAUGUGGAAAACAUUUCACUGGGCGAUCAUCCCUUACUGUACAUCAGGUUAUUCAUACUGGAGAGAAGCCUUAUGAAUGCAGUGAAUGUGGAAAGGCCUUCAGCCAGAGUGCAUACCUUAUUGAGCAUCAAAGAAUUCAUACUGGUGAGAAGCCCUAUGAAUGCGAUCAGUGUGGAAAAGCCUUCAUUAAGAAUUCAUCCCUUAUAGUGCACCAGAGAACUCAUACAGGAGAGAAACCCUAUCAGUGUAAUGAAUGUGGAAAAGCCUUCAGUCGGAGUACAAAUCUUACACGGCAUCAGAGAACUCAUACGUGAGGAAAACAUGGGACCCUUCAUCAUGAUUAACUCUUCAGUGAUUCUCCUUUGGACAUCAGAGACUUCACACUGGAGAGAAAAUGUGAGAGUGCUUAACUGGACAGCCCAAAGACCUGGAGUUUUGGAAGCUUUGGGUCCUCAUAUGUCAGUGCUCAGCCAUCCUGGGCAACAAGGAGAGGAAACUUCUGCACCUUUCUUCUACCAGCAGGGGCAGGAUUCCUGGUCCCUAGACAUGAGACCUUGGACAAGGCACUUAAUAUAUCGCUAUCUGUUUUCUUAUUUGUUAACAGGGCAGACCUUAUAGCUUUGGAUUACAUUCAGUACUAAUGUAAAAUGCUUAGUGCCCAACCCAUACUUAGUGCUAAAUAAAUACUCUAUUAUCAUUUUCAUAUAUAUGAACAAUAUUCAAACUUAUUAGCAUGGCAUCCAGAGCCCUUAAUUAUCUCAAUUAUCUUGGGCUGUCAAAGCAAAUGCCUUGUAGGAAGGUUAUAUAAUUGUAGGAGGCUCUCUCCUCCUUCUAUUACCCCACUGCUGUAAUAGCCUUCUAACUGCUUUCCCUAUAUUAGCUCUAGCCCUACCACAGCCUUUUCUCCCCAAAGCAGACCAGUGAUUCUGUCAAAAUGUAUUCAGCCACACCACUCUUUGCUCAAACCCCUUUGAUGGUUUCCUAUAACAUGAAGAACAAUCCAAACUUUUUACCAUGGCCUUCAAGCCCUCUAGUCCCUUCUAAUCUACUCUCCCACUCUCCCUUGUUGACUGUGCCCUCUCCUGUCAUAGUGGCCUUGUUAAACCACAGACUAACCAAGCACGCUUCCAUCUCUGGUCAGCAUUUCUGUUCUCUUCGCAAAUAUUCACAUGUUUUCCUUCCUUACUACCUUCCGAUCUCUGCUCAAAUGUUACCUCCUCAAAGAGAACUCCAAAUGCUACUUAAAAUAAUCCCCACUUCCCCACCCAGUCACAGUCUAAACCUAACAGCCUAAGUGUGUCAUCAGUUCAGUUGCCCAGUAGUGACUGACUCUGUGACCCCAGGGACUGCAGCAUGCCAGCCUUCCCUGUCCAUCACCAACUCCUGGGGCUUGCUCAAACUCAUGUCCAUCGAGUCGGUGAU